UAAAAAUUAUGAACUUGAUAGCAAGAAGAUUGAAACUAUACUGAUCAUCUGGAAUCAGAUUGAAAGCGGAUCGCAUCACCGGAUCCAUAAUGUAAAAGAAAGCGCAGGUGUAUUUUGACCCAAAUUUCAUUGGCUCCGUUCAUGCCACCAUUGUUAUGCGCAACACAUGGUACACCUUUUUUAUCAUAACCAGACCGUGAACGAUUUGAUAGUAUGAAUAUUCAAGGAUUAUGAUCAGACCGUGAGCGGACCGAGAGCGGAUCGAUAGUGUGUAUCGAGCCUUAUACAGAUAAAAAAUAGUGCAAAGCAUCUUACGCCCGACAGAUCGCCGCCCAGGCACUUGACGGUUCGACGGCCGCGGAACGAUGUUAGAAAAUAUGCAUCGUUACAAUAUUUUGUUGUAAAAAAUAUCAUAUCAGCUAGGAUUCAAAGUUGGAUCUUUUUAUUUUUCAGAAUAGGCAUCUUUAUCAAAUCAACCAUAUUAAGCACAUUCCCGCGGCUCCAGGAGAAUUCCCCCCUUCCAUCCUUUGUGCGUAAGUCUGCCGAGCAGAAUCAAGCUGGUUGAAACGCUCCCUGUGAUUUUGUAACAUGCUGUUGCGACGAACUAUUGCGGCAUAUCAAUGUAUCGCCAAACAAGACUUCGGUCGAGGUAAAGGAGCACAUCUCUAAUCUCGCGAAAAUGUGUUACAAAGCGCACCGCGCUCGACGUCUCGGAAACGAUGCGACGAAGAUGGCAUGCUAUUUGAAACCAUCCUUGGUGCGAUAUAGCUCCCAAGUUUGGAUAUAAAUACAAGUAACAAUGCGAAGUGUCACUACGUUUUUCGAGCUCUUUCGUGUUACGAAUCCGUGCGAGUCUUAACGAGAAGCCGAGUCCUUUAUAUUAAAUUAACGAGAAGCCGAGUUUACAAAUCGAAAUGUUAUCGAAAUUAAUAUGUAGAGACCUCCCACAUAUAUAUAAUACGUUACAUAUACGAUAAAGACAUUAUUCACAUAGCAUAGUGUAUGUAUGCAACACGCUGUUUAUAUCUUACAUUUUACGAUUUCACGAUGGAUAAAAAAUCGAACAUCAAGUUUUGUAUUAAACUUGGGAAAUCUGCCACAGAGACCCUUGAGACUUCGGGAGGCCUAUGGCAAUAAUACCCUAGGUCGAAUCCAAUGUUUUCAAUGGCACUCCCAAUUUCAAAAUAGCCGAACAUCGUUAAAAGACGAGAAAUCUGGACAGCCGCAAGCACUCUCGAAAAUGUCGAAAAAAUGGGUGGGGUCCGUUUGACCACGUUUGCAAUUGACCACCAGUCACUCAUAGCGUUUGAACAGAGGAAAAUCUCUAGACACCGGCCGUUGUGAGUGGCUGUGGUCAAUCGCAACGUGGUCAAACGGGACAUUUCCGAAAAAAAUCACACAGUUCAUUCAGGAAUGAUCGUUGGAUUACGAUCAAAGAAGUUGCU